AAAUAAACAGACUUUUUUUCAAAAUAUUCAAAACUUAAACACUCUGAAAACAGAAUUGACCCCAUUUUUUCCAUAACUAAAUAAACACAGGAAUGCAACUGCUUUAUCUGAAUCCCUAUUAACAAAAUUCUAAAAAUACUUUGAAUGCACGUCAUGGGCACAGCAUGUGUGUGCACCUAGUGCUCGGUGCAACUGCCUGCUGAGACUAGGGGAUGGAGGAGAGCUUGCAGUUGCUGAUACUGGCACUAAGAGCAGGGAGAACAAAAGAAGACAGAAACUCUGUCCUGCCUUUGAUAAAGGAUAAACACGUGGAGGAAGAGGCAGCAUUUGGGAAGUGGAGAAAUGAAGAAAACGGGAGAUGAUUUUGUAUCUCAGCAUAUCUGGUAAUGUGUCUGUAAAUGAGACUGUAGCAUAUUAGGAUGGGUUUAAAAUCCUGCAAAAGCAAGACCAACUAGGUUUGUUUGCUUGCUUUUUUGAGACAGGGAGGAUAGUGUUCAUUAUUUCCCAACUCAGACUGGGGCAGACCUUAGAGCCCCACAUGCUGGAUAGGCACAUGGCCGGUGACCAGCAAGGAAGUGAGCUGGCAGGAAGUGAGGUAGAGUUUGAAACUUCCUGAUUUCCGUUGGCCUUUUGCUGAUGAACAGAAAAGUCUCAGUUCUGGAAAACGCCUGACCAGCUUUAGUUAGUGACCUUCCUUCCUCACUUCUGUGGAAAAUCCUCCUGAAGCAGUCAUGGAAACAACACUCGAGUGAAGAAAUAGAAACCCUUUCCCUUGCACAAGGAGGCAGAAAUGUGAUGGCAGUUGCUUUCCAAACAAAGCAGCCUCAGAAUGUCCUACGCCAUCUUUCAGGACUGACAAUCUGUGGGACAAAGACAGCAAAGAAAAUAAAUGAGUGGACAAUGAAAAUGUGCAUCAAAACAGUGAAACAGAUUACUCGCUAUGCAUGAGAUGAAGUCCAGGUGCAAGCACAGCACUUACUGCUCAGAAGAAGGGAGUAUGAUUACAGUCCCCCUCUCCAGACCUUGCUGUGCAGGACAGAAGGAUAUUGCUGGACACAGAGGACAUCCUAUAAGGACACUGACUGUUAGUUCAGAAGUAGGCUGUUUGGAUAACUGUAGGCAAGUCAGUGGUAAUUCAUGAUUUUUAAAGAAACAGACAAUUUUAAAGACAGAGUUUUACUAAGGAAGUCAUACACACAUGAAACACUGUGAAACACUGUCUUUCUCAUGCAUCAGUAUGUGUUGCAACAGAUGACUGCAUUUCACACACUCAGGAAGGCUGUAAUGACCAUAAGUCUGUGUUUCAUAAUAGGAGUAGCUAGAAGCUUUCAUUCACAUGCCUCCUCCACCACCUGAGAGAAGGGUGGCUUUGACCUCUUUGGUAACUGGCAUUGAGGACUACAUCCAUGAUUGGAUUGAGACAAAAAUACCAAGAGCAAUCUGUGAUUUUGUAUCCCAAUCUGAGUCACCUCAAAGGAAAUCCAUUUUCAGGAGUUGGGUAACAGCAAUUUUUAAAAUCAAACGUUUUUAAAAUAUCUGAGGAAUCCUUUUAAAAAUUCAGAAUUUACAGCAUUUAUCAGGCUGUAAAUAGUAGCAUCAUGGGGAAUGAACACACCCAAGAAAAAUUUUCAAUUUGAGAAGUCAUAAACAACAUAACAGGUAUUUUUUAAAGAUCAUAUGACAUCAUUAAUGACUAUAGAAUAAAUUACAUUUCAUCACA
rnacentral:lncRNA from 1 species